rnacentral:rRNA from 1 species
ACUCAAAUGAAUUGACGGGGGCCCGCACAAGCGGUGGAGCAUGUGGUUUAAUUCGACGCAACGCGAAGAACCUUACCAAGGCUUGACAUCCCCGCGCAAAGUGUAGAGAUACACUCCCUCUUCGGAGCGCGGGAGACAGGUGGUGCAUGGUUGUCGUCAGCUCGUGUCGUGAGAUGUUGGGUUAAGUCCCGCAACGAGCGCAACCCUUAUGUUUAGUAGCCAGCAAGUAAAGUUGGGCACACUAGAGAGACUGCCGUGGAGAACACGGAGGAAGGUGGGGACGACGUCAAAUCAUCAUGCCCCUUACGUCUUGGGCUACACACGUGCUACAAUGGCAUACACAAAGUGAAGCAAAGCCGCGAGGCGGAGCAAAUCACGAAAGGAUGCCUCAGUUCGGAUUGCAGUCUGCAACUCGACUGCAUGAAGUUGGAAUCGCUAGUAAUCGCGAAUCAGCAUGUCGCGGUGAAUACGUUCCCGGGCCUUGUACACACCGCCCGU